rnacentral:tRNA from 2 species
ACGCCCGUAGCUCAGUAGGAUAGAGCGGCGGUUUCCUAAACCGCAGGUCACAGGUUCGAAUCCUGUCGGGCGUACCA